GUGCCAGCAGCCGCGGUAAGACGGAGGGGGCUAGCGUUGUUCGGAAUUACUGGGCGUAAAGAGCGCGUAGGCGGCUAUGCAAGUUGGAAGUGAAAUCCCGGGGCUUAACCUCGGAACUGCUUUCAAAACUGCGUAGCUAGAGUAUGGUAGGGGGUGAUAGAAUUCCUAGUGUAGAGGUGAAAUUCUUAGAUAUUAGGAGGAAUACCGGUGGCGAAGGCGAUCACCUGGGCCAUUACUGACGCUGAGGCGCGAAAGCGUGGGGAGCAAACAGGAUUAGAUACCCUGGUAGUCC
rnacentral:rRNA from 1 species